rnacentral:rRNA from 1 species
CAAAGGCGAAGGCAGUACACUGGCGCAACACUGACGCUGAAACACGAAAGCGUGGGGAGAGAAUGGGAUUAGAUACCCCAGUAUUCCACGCCCUAAACGAUGAUCACUGGCUUUUCGGAGUAUCGACCCUCUGAGAGGCGAAGCUAACGCGUUAAGUGAUCCGCCUGGGAAGUACGGCCGCAAGGCUAAAACUCAAAGGAAUAGACGGGGACUUGCACAAGCGGUGGAUUAUGUGGUUUAAUUCGAUUCUAAACGAAGAACCUCACCAGGGCUAGAUAUGAAGACGAAGAUCGGAAGAAACUUCGAUCGUCUCACAAGGACGGCUUCACAGGUGAUGCAUGGCUGUCGUCAGUUCGUGGUUUGAAUUGUUCCCUUAAGUGGGGUAACGAACGCAACCCGUAUCGUGUGUUACAAGUGUCACACGAGACUGCCCGCCUCUGGCGGGAGGAAGCGCGGAUGACGCCAAGUCAGCAUGUCCCUCUGAUGCCCUGGGCUACACACAUAAUACAAUCGCCGGUACAACGGGACGCAAUAUCGAAAGAUGGAGCCAAUCCUCAUAAGCCGGCGCCAGUUCGGAUAGAGGUCUGCAACUCGACCUCUUGAAGCCGGAAUCGCUAGUAAUCGCGGGUCAGCUAUACCGCGGUGAAUACGUUCUCAAGUCUUGUACUCACUGCCCGUCAAACAAGGGAAGCCGGGAAUGCCUGAAGGGUCCACGUUCGUGGGGCCAAAGGUAAGCUUGGUAACAAGUGUUAAGUCGUAACAAGGCACGGGUAGGGGAACCUGC